rnacentral:rRNA from 1 species
CAGCAGCCACGGGAAUACGAAGGGUGCAAGCGUUAAUCGGAAUUACUGGGCGUAAAGCGUGUGUAGGCGGUUUGUUAAGUCUGCUGUGAAAUCCCCGGGCUCAACCUGGGAAUGGCAGUGGAUACUGGCAAGCUAGAGUGUGUCAGAGGAUGGUGGAAUUCCCGGUGUAGCGGUGAAAUGCGUAGAGAUCGGGAGGAACAUCAGUGGCGAAGGCGGCCAUCUGGGACAACACUGACGCUGAGGCACGAAAGCGUGGGGAGCAAACAGGAUUAGAUACCCCAGUAGUCCCUGUCUCUUAUAC